CCUGACACCACUGACACCACUGACACCACUGAAAUGACAACGCUAUACUUCACGCCGCCUUUAGAUUGUGGUUCUGGUCUCUACGGUAUACAAUGUCAAUACGCUUGCAACUGUCCUAAACCUUUCUGUGAACGAAUUAAUGGCACAUGCUAUGAGGCUGACUGCGCUAAAGGAUGGUUUGGAAAAGAAUGUCAAAUAGAGGACCUGGCAGUAUUUGCGUACCUAGCUGACCCUGCAGAGUUAUUUGACGCCGAC